UACGUAGGGUGCGAGCGUUAAUCGGAAUUACUGGGCGUAAAGCGUGCGCAGGCGGUGAUGUAAGACAGAUGUGAAAUCCCCGGGCUCAACCUGGGAACUGCAUUUGUGACUGCAUCGCUGGAGUGCGGCAGAGGGGGAUGGAAUUCCGCGUGUAGCAGUGAAAUGCGUAGAUAUGCGGAGGAACGCCGAUGGCGAAGGCAAUCCCCUGGGCCUGCACUGACGCUCAUGCACGAAAGCGUGGGGAGCAAACAGG
rnacentral:rRNA from 1 species